UUUUACGGCAACAUAUAUUAAUAUUUACAGCUGAAAAGACAUUUUUGUAUUAAACACAAAGAAAAGACAAUUUCAAUACUUAUUUCAGAAGAACUUUAUUAAAUCCCAUUUGUAAAAGAAAGCAAGACAGAUACAAUAGGGAUGAUGACGGGGUAUGAAAAUUAAAAAUCUAUUUAGUCCGUCAGUUAGGUAAUGAAAAAAUAUUAGACACGUAUUUUUUUUAUUUUGUCAUAUAAGAUAACAAUACUUAGAUGAAACGAAUCAAAGUUUAGGAGUGGGAGCAAAUACGUCAUUUCUACGUGUAAAAUGUAUUAGAAGUGACGUCACGCGAUAUUUCAAAUCGAUAUAUCUUCGGAAGUAUUUGUUUCCGUAAGAAAAUAAAAAAUACGUGUCUAAUGUUUUAAAAUAAUCUACAAGACGGACGUUAAAAUAAAAAUUAGUCAUCU